GACGAACCGUCCGAACGUUAUUCGGAAUCACUGGGCUUAAAGGGUGCGUAGGCGGCGCGGAAAGUUGGGUGUGAAAUCCCUCGCUUAACCGAGGAACGGCGCCCAAAACUACCGUGCUUGAGGGAGAUAGAGGUGAGCGGAACUUAGGGUGGAGCGGUGAAAUGCGUUGAUAUCCUAAGGAACACCGGUGGCGAAAGCGGCUCACUGGAUCUCUUCUGACGCUGAUGCACGAAAGCUAGGGUAGCGAACGGG
rnacentral:rRNA from 1 species